rnacentral:misc_RNA from 1 species
AAAGUCGUAACAAGGUUUCCGUAGGUGAACCUGCGGAAGGAUCAUUAUUGAAUACAUUGUGAAGGAGGUUGAGCUGGCUUUUAACCAAGCAUGUGCUUGUCUCCUUUCAAUAUCUUCAUCCACCUGUGCACCUUUUGUAGGGAUAUAGAAAGAUCUGGAACGGUGUAAAAGCCAAGUACGGGGACUUCUGUUCUCUAUGUUUUUACACACCUAAUGUAUGUUUAUGAAUGUCUAUUGGGGACUUUAUUGACCCUAUAAAAAGUUAAUACAACUUUCAGCAACGGAUCUCUUGGCUCUC